UAGAGGGCCUGGGAGUUACAGCGUCGAGGGCCCACAACAAGUAGAUCAUCCAUGUGAGGAUCCUAAUCGGAACAAGAGUUAAAGUUAAGAAUGACCCUACAACCAGAGUCAACAAUCUAACCACCUGAAAUGAGCUGCAUGGAUCGAGGAACAUGAAAAGACGAAGUGCUAAGGGUGUCGACUAUCGACUGUGAGGGAAGUUCCUAAGAACAUGAACAUGAGAAUCUGGAGGUCGAAUGGCCGACAAACUGGAAGAACUAGACGAUGAAGCACCAGGUUGUGAACCUAGAAGUGGGUGUUGAAGUCGUGCAAUUUUUGUUCCUCGUCGAUCUGGCUUGGCGUCCUACCCUUGUAUGCGGGUUAUGUGUCACGGACUUGAUGUCGCAUUCUACGUUCCCUUGUUGGGCGCCGUUGGCCCCGGCGACAGGUAGCGUCGUGCACACAUCAUGUGGGUUAGACAUUGCGGUGCCGACUGCCCUUGCUCCUGCUCCGCCGAUAGGUGGUGCCCGAGCGUUCGGCUAUGGCGGCGCCCAGCAGGGCAAGACGGGUGGUGGGAUCGAGGCAGCACACAAAGCAACCUGUAGCCAAGCAAAGGAUGCCCAACCGGCCUGGCAUGGAGCGGAGAGUGCACAAGGGUGUGGGGUAAGCGGUGAAAAUGUCGUCGGGGGAAGACGGCUGUCGCCGUCAGAUUUUGACCUGGAGUCGAACGGUGAGGGGAUGAUGAUAGGGAAAGCGAGGAAGGCAGGAAGAGGGCACUUGGAGGAGAAACGCAUCAUCCACCCUAUGCGCGUGCUUCAGCCGCGAUGGUGGACGGUUGUGGGGAAAUCCGAGGUCUGCACGUGGAUCUACUACUCGGGAUGGCGUGACAUGGUCGUUGCGGAGUGAGGUGCCAAAGCUAUUUUGUUGUGUGGAUGAGUUUGGAGAGAUAUAAGUUGUGUUGCACUCUAGUCUAGGCCUUCACCUGUACCAAGUGCAACUUAUUUAGAGUUUCUGCUCUCUCAAGCUUAAGCCUUUCUCUGAACCAAAUCUAGUCCAAGACACCCAACCUAGCUAUAGAAGUUCUGAUAGCAUGGACUUACAUCGAUGUGCUUAACUUGUGGAAUUGUAAGAGCACCGCUUAAGCACCAACAACUUUUGCCUAGAAUAAAGCCCAACAUGAGAUUGUGUGAGUUAAUCAUUUUACAUCCUUAAGCCCCAACAUGCGCCAAGUUGGGUGGUGCCAUACGUAAGUUGUUUGGAGGAGCUAUGAUUGGAGUCUAGUGGUGAUGUAGAAGUGAUAUUCAGGAGAUAGUCAAAGAUUUUUGGUGGAUUAUGAGAUUUUAGGUCUAGUUGAGCAUGGUGAUUAUUAUAUUGGUGGAUAAACAGAGCUUUAAUUAAUCUGGGAACAAUUUGGAUUUAGUUAGGUGAUCGUGAUCUUGAACCAAAUUUCACGAUGGAUAAAUAACUUCAGUAGUACACAUAAGGAUCCAUAGUCCGUCAAUAGAACUUUGUGGUUUAUAUUGGAUUUAGAUAACAAUGAAUUUGGGGUUUAUUUAAAUCAUGGUUAUGAUGUUGGUGGAUUGCUUUGUGCUAAAUUCACACUUUUGGAGAUUGAUGAAGUUUGAGAACUUUAGGGUGUAGUAUGAUAAACCUUGGAUAUAUAUCGGAUUUAUAUAGGUUAGAUGAGAGUUUGCAGCAUCAAUCUUGAUUAUGAUAAUUGGUGGAUUAUUGGAGCAUCUAGGAUUGGAUUAGUAGUAAGGAAACAAGGAUUUUGAAGUAACACAACUUUUGUUUCCUUUAGGCUAGAUGAGACUUAGCAACAUCAAUCAUGAUUAUGGGAAUGGUGGAUUAUUGGAGCAUUGGAUUAGCAGUAAGGGAACAAGGAUCUUGGAGUAGCACAACUCGUGUUUCCUUUAGGUUAAAUGAUAUAGCUACUUGGAUUCUAGGAUGGAGAUAACUUUGGCACUUGGAUUUGUGAUGUUUUGAUCUAAGCUUAGUAGCUUGCAUGUGCCCCAUAUGGAUAUAAUCAUGAAUACGAUACAUGUGGAUCAGAGUUGUUAGACAGGUGAUUUUGGUGUCCCUCCCCAAGAAUGUUAUGAGUACAAAGAUCAUCAUGGGAGGAUGGUUUGGACUAAUUCGAAGGAAAGGUAACUGAACCUGUUUGCAAAGCCGACAAACCUGAUAGUUUAAAGACACUCCUCUAGAGACAUAUGCUAGAAGGCCACAUCGAACUAAGGAUGACAGACGAGAGCCACAUGAGUGACCAAGACGAUGGAUGAUGCCACAAAGAGUUGGUAGACGAGGAGAGGCGGAGAGACUGGCGACGGUGUCAUCAGAGGGAAGGUGAAGCCAGCCAAGCUCAUAGAGGGCCUGGUAGUUAUAGCGCCGAGGGCCCACAAUAAGUAAAGCAUCUGUGCGAGGAUCCUAAUCAAAACAAGAGGUAAAGUCAAGAAUGACCAUACAACCAGAGUCGACAAACUAACCACCUGAAAUGAGUUGCACGGGUCGAGGAACAUGAGCAAAACUAGGAACAUGAAAAGACGAAGUGCUAAGAGUGCCUCGACUAUCGGCUGGGAGGGAAGUUCCUAAGAACAUGAACAUGAGAAUCUGGAGGUCGAAUGGUCGACAAACUGGAAGAAUCAGACGAAGAAGCACCAGGCGAUGAAACUAGAAGUGUGUGUCGAAGUCAUGCAAUUUUUGUUCCUCGUCGAUCUUGCUUGGCGUCCUUCCCUUGUAUGCGGGUUACGUGUCACGGACUUGAUGUCGCAUCCUACGUUCCCUUGUUGGGGGCCCUUCGCCCCGGCGACAGGUAGCGUCGUGCACACAUCAUGUGGAUUAGACAUUGCGGUGCCGACUGCCUCUGCUCUUGCUCUGCCGUUAGGUGGUGCUCGAGCGUUCGGCUAUGGCGGCGCCCAGCAGGGGAAGGCGGGUUGUGGGAUCGAGGCAGCACACAAAGCAACCCGUAGCCAAGCAAAGGAUGCCCAACCGGACUGGCAUGGAGCAGAGAGUGCACGAGGGGUGUGGGGAAGCGGUGAAAUUUUCGUCGGGAGUGGAUUGCUGCCGCCGUCGUCAGAUUUUGAACCUAGAGUUGAGCGCUGAGGGGAUGAUGAAGGGGAAGCGAGGAGGCAUGAAGAGGGCACUUGGAGGAGAAAGGCAUCAUCCACCCUUUGCUCGUGCGUCAGCCGCGAUUGGUGGACGGUUGUGGGCAUAUCCGAUGUCUGCACGUGGAUCUACUACUCGGGAUGGCAUGACAUGGUUGUUGUCGAGUGAGGUGCCACAACUAUUUUGUUGUGUGGGUGAGGUUGGAGAGAUAGAAGUCGUGUUGCGCUCUAGUCUAGGCCUUUAACUGUACCAAGUGCAACUUAUUUAGAGUUUCUGCUCUCUGAAGCUUAAGCCUUUCUCUGAACCAAAUCUAGCCCAAAAAACCCAACCUGGCUCUAAAAGUUCUGAUAGCAUGGACUUAUAUCGAUGUGGUUAAUGUAUGGAAUUGUAAGAGCACCGCUUAAGCACCAACAACUUUUGCCUAUAAUAAAGCCCAACAUGAGAUAGUGUGAGUUAAUCAUUUUACAUCCUUAAGCCCCAGCAUGCGCCAAGUUGGGUGGUGCCAUACGCAAGUUGUUUUGAGGAGCUAUGAUUGGAGUCUGGUGGUGAUGUAGAAGUGAUAUCCAGGAGAUAGUCAAAGAUUUUUGGUGGAUUAUGAGAUUUUAGGUCUAGUUGAGCAUGGUGAUUAUUAUAUUGGUGGAUAAACAGAUCUUUAAUUAAUUUGGGAACAAUUUGGAUUUAGUUAGGUGAUUGUGAUCUUGAACCAAAUUUCACGAUGGAUAAAUAACUUCAAUAGUACACAUAAGGAUCCAUAGUCCGUCAAUAGAACUUUGUGGUUUAUAUUGGAUUUAGAUAACAAUGAAUUUGGGGUUUAUUUAAAUCAUGGUUAUGAUGUUGGUGGAUUGCUUUGUGUUAAAUUGACACUUUUGGAGAUUGAUGAAGUUUGAGAACUUUAGGGUGUAGUAUGAUAAACCUUGGAUAUAUAUCGGCUUUAUAUAGGUUAGAUGAGAGUUUGCAGCAUCAAUCUUGAUUAUGAUAAUUGGUGGAUUAUUGGAGCAUCUGGGAUUGGAUUAGUAGUAAGGAAACAAGGAUUUUGAAGUAACACAACUUUUGUUUCCUUUAGGCUAGAUGAGACUUAGCAACAUCAAUCAUGAUUAUGGGAAUGGUGUAUUAUUGGAGCAUUGGAUUAGCAGUAAGGGAACAAGGAUCUUGGAGUAGCACAACUCGUGUUUCCUUUAGGUUAAAUGAUAUAGCUACUUGGCUUCUAGGAUGGAGAUAACUUUGGCACUUGGAUUUGUGAUGUUUUGAUCUAAGCUUAGUAGCUUGCAUGUGCCCCAUAUGGAUAUAAUCAUGAAUACGAUACAUGUGGAUCAGAGUUGUUAGACAUAGGUGAUUUUGGUGUCCCUCCCCAAGAAUGUUAUGAGUACAAAGAUCAUCAUGGGAGGAUGGUUUGGAUUAAUUCGAAGGAAAGGUAACUGAACCUGUUUGCAAAGCCGACAAACCUGAUAGUCUAAAGACACACCUCUAGAGACAUAUGCAAGAAGGCCACAUCGAACUAAGGAUGACAGACGAGAGCCACAUGAGUGACCAAGACGAUGGAUGAUGCCACAAAGAGUUGGUAGACGAGGAGAGGUGGAGAGACUGGCGACGGUGUCAUCAGAGGGAAGGUGAAGCCAGUCAAGCUCAUAGAGGGCCUGGUAGUUAUAGCGCCGAGGGGCCCACAACAAGUAAACCAUCUGUGUGAGGAUCCUAAUCAAAACAAGAGGUAAAGUCAAGAAUGACCAUACAACCAGAGUCGACAAACUAACCACCUGAAAUGAGUUGCACGGGUCGAGGAACAUGAGCAAAACUAGGAACAUGAAAAGACGAAGUGCUAAGAGUGCCUCGACUAUCGGCUGGGAGGCAAGUUCCUAAGAACAUGAACAUGAGAAUCUGGAGGUCGAAUGGUCGACAAACUGGAAGAAUCAGACGAAGAAGCACUAGGCGAUGAAACUAAAAGUGGGUGUCGAAGUCGUGCAAUUUUUGUUCCUCGUCGAUCUUUCUUGGCGUCCUUCCCUUAUAUGCGGGUUACGUGUCACGAACUUGAUGUCGCAUCCUACGUUCCCUUGUUGGGGGCCCUUGGCCCCUGCAACAGGUAGCGUCGUGCACACAUCAUGUGGAUUAGACAUUGCGGUGCCGACAACCCCUGCUCUUGCUCUGCCGUUAGGUGGUGCUUGAGCGUUCGCCUAUGGCGGCGCCCAGCAGGGGAAGACGGGUUGUGGGAUCGAGGCAGCACACAAAGCAACCCGUAGCCAAGCAAAGGAUGCCCAACCGGACUGGCAUGGAGCAGAGAGUGCACGAGGGGUGUGGGUGAAGCGGUGAAACUGUCGUUGGGAAUUGACUGCUGCCGCCGUCGUCAAAUUUUGAACCUAGAGUUGUGCGGUGAGGGGAUGAUGAUAGGGGAAGCGAGGAGGCAUGAAGAGGGCACUUGGAGGAGAAAGGCAUCAUCCACCCAAUGCUCGUGCGUCAACGCGAUUGGUGGAUGUUGUGGGCAUAUCCGUUGUCUGCACGUGGAUCUACUACUUGGGAUGGCGUGACAUGGUCGUUGCGGAGUGAGGUGCCAAAGCUAUUUUGUUGUGUGGAUGAGUUUGGAGAGAUAUAAGUUGUGUUGCACUCUAGUCUAGGCCUUCACCUGUACCAAGUGCAACUUAUUUAGAGUUUCUGCUCUCUCAAGCUUAAGCCUUUCUCUGAACCAAAUCUAGUCCAAGACACCCAACCUAGCUAUAGAAGUUCUGAUAGCAUGGACUUACAUCGAUGUGCUUAACUUGUGGAAUUGUAAGAGCACCGCUUAAGCACCAACAACUUUUGCCUAGAAUAAAGCCCAACAUGAGAUUGUGUGAGUUAAUCAUUUUACAUCCUUAAGCCCCAACAUGCGCCAAGUUGGGUGGUGCCAUACGUAAGUUGUUUGGAGGAGCUAUGAUUGGAGUCUAGUGGUGAUGUAGAAGUGAUAUUCAGGAGAUAGUCAAAGAUUUUUGGUGGAUUAUGAGAUUUUAGGUCUAGUUGAGCAUGGUGAUUAUUAUAUUGGUGGAUAAACAGGGCUUUAAUUAAUCUGGGAACAAUUUGGAUUUAGUUAGGUGAUUGUGAUCUUGAACCAAAUUUCACGAUGGAUAAAUAACUUCAGUAGUACACAUAAGGAUCCUUAGUCCGUCAAUAGAACUUUGUGGUUUAUAUUGGAUUUAGAUAACAAUGAAUUUGGGGUUUAUUUAAAUCAUGGUUAUGAUGUUGGUGGAUUGCUUUGUGCUAAAUUCACACUUUUGGAGAUUGAUGAAGUUUGAGAACUUUAGGGUGUAGUAUGAUAAACCUUGGAUAUAUAUCGGAUUUAUAUAGGUUAGAUGAGAGUUUGCAGCAUCAAUCUUGAUUAUGAUAAUUGGUGGAUUAUUGGAGCAUCUGGGAUUGGAUUAGUAGUAAGGAAACAAGGAUUUUGAAGUAACACAACUUUUGUUUCCUUUAGGCUAGAUGAGACUUAGCAACAUCAAUCAUGAUUAUGGGAAUGGUGGAUUAUUGGAGCAUUGGAUUAGCAGUAAGGGAACAAGGAUCUUGGAGUAGCACAACUCGUGUUUCCUUUAGGUUAAAUGAUAUAGCUACUUGGAUUCUAGGAUGGAGAUAACUUUGGCACUUGGAUUUGUGAUGUUUUGAUCUAAGCUUAGUAGCUUGCAUGUGCCCCAUAUGGAUAUAAUCAUGAAUAUGAUACAUGUGGAUCAUAGUUGUUAGACAGGUGAUUUUGGUGUCCCUCCCCAAGAAUGUUAUGAGUACAAAGAUCAUCAUGGGAGGAUGGUUUGGACUAAUUCGAAGGAAAGGUAACUGAACCUGUUUGCAAAGCCGACAAACCUGAUAGUUUAAAGACACUCCUCUAGAGACAUAUGCUAGAAGGCCACAUCGAACUAAGGAUGACAGACGAGAGCCACAUGAGUGACCAAGACGAUGGAUGAUGCCACAAAGAGUUGGUAGACGAGGAGAGGCGGAGAGACUGGCGACGGUGUCAUCAGAGGGAAGGUGAAGCCAGCCAAGCUCAUAGAGGGCCUGGUAGUUAUAGCGCCGAGGGCCCACAAUAAGUAAAGCAUCUGUGCGAGGAUCCUAAUCAAAACAAGAGGUAAAGUCAAGAAUGACCAUACAACCAGAGUCGACAAACUAACCACCUGAAAUGAGUUGCACGGGUCGAGGAACAUGAGCAAAACUAGGAACAUGAUUAGACGAAGUGCUAAGAGUGCCUCGACUAUCGGCUGGGAGGGAAGUUCCUAAGAACAUGAACAUGAGAAUCUGGAGGUCGAAUGGUCGACAAACUGGAAGAAUCAGACGAAGAAGCACCAGGCGAUGAAACUAGAAGUGUGUGUCGAAGUCAUGCAAUUUUUGUUCCUCGUCGAUCUUGCUUGGCGUCCUUCCCUUGUAUGCGGGUUACGUGUCACGGACUUGAUGUCGCAUCCUACGUUCCCUUGUUGGGGGCCCUUCGCCCCGGCGACAGGUAGCAUCGUGCACACAUCAUGUGGAUUAGACAUUGCGGUGCCGACUGCCUCUGCUCUUGCUUUGCCGUUAGGUGGUGCUCGAGCGUUCGGCUAUGGCGGCGCCCAGCAGGGGAAGGCGGGUUGUGGGAUCGAGGCAGCACACAAAGCAACCCGUAGCCAAGCAAAGGAUGCCCAACCGGACUGGCAUGGAGCAGAGAGUGCACGAGGGGUGUGGGGAAGCGGUGAAAUUUUCGUCGGGAGUGGAUUGCUGCCGCCGUCGUCAGAUUUUGAACCUAGAGUUGAGCGCUGAGGGGAUGAUGAAGGGGAAGCGAGGAGGCAUGAAGAGGGCACUUGGAGGAGAAAGGCAUCAUCCACCCUUUGCUCGUGCGUCAGCCGCGAUUGGUGGACGGUUGUGGGCAUAUCCGAUGUCUGCACGUGGAUCUACUACUCGGGAUGGCAUGACAUGGUUGUUGUGGAGUGAGGUGCCACAACUAUUUUGUUGUGUGGGUGAGGUUGGAGAGAUAGAAGUCGUGUUGCGCUCUAGUCUAGGCCUUUAACUGUACCAAGUGCAACUUAUUUAGAGUUUCUGCUCUCUGAAGCUUAAGCCUUUCUCUGAACCAAAUCUAGCCCAAGAAACCCAACCUGGCUCUAAAAGUUCUGAUAGCAUGGACUUAUAUCGAUGUGGUUAAUGUAUGGAAUUGUAAGAGCACCGCUUAAGCACCAACAACUUUUGCCUAUAAUAAAGCCCAACAUGAGAUUGUGUGAGUUAAUCAUUUUACAUCCUUAAGCCCCAACAUGCGCCAAGUUGGGUGGUGCCAUACGUAAGUUGUUUUGAGGAGCUAUGAUUGGAGUCUGGUGGUGAUGUAAAAGUGAUAUUCAGGAGAUAGUCAAAGAUUUUUGGUGGAUUAUGAGAUUUUUGGUCUAGUUGAGCAUGGCGAUUAUCAUAUUGGUGGAUAAACAGGUCUUUAAUUAAUCUGGGAACAAUUUGGAUUUAGUUAGGUGAUUGUGAUCUUGAACCAAAUUUCACGAUGGAUAAAUAACUUCAAUAGUACAUAUAAGGAUCCAUAGUCCGCCAAUAGAACUUUGUGGUUUAUAUUGGAUUUAGAUAACAAUGAAUUUUGAGUUUAUUUAUAUCAUGGUUACGAUGUUGGUGGAUUGCUUUGUGUUAAAUUCAAACUUUUGGAGAUUGUUCAAGUUGGAGAACUUUAGGGUGUAGUAUCAUCAACCUUGGAUAUAUAUCGGAUUUAUAUAGGUUAGAUUAGAGUUUGCAGCAUCAAUCAUGAUUAUGAUAAUUGGUGGAUCUGGUAUUCGAUUAGUAGUAAGGAAACAAGGAUUUUGAAGUAACACAACUUUUAUUUCCUUUAGGCUAGAUGAGACUUAGCAACAUCAAUCAUGAUUAUGGAAAUGGUGGAUUAUUGGAGCAUCUGGGAUUGGAUUAGUAGUAAGGGAACAAGGAUCUUGGAGUAGAACAACUUUUGUUUCCUUUAGAUUAAAUGAUAUAGCUACUUGGAUUCUAGGAUGGAGAUAACAUUGGCACUUGGAUUUGUGAUGUUUUGAUCUAAGCUUAGUAGGUUGCAUGUGCCCCAUAUGGAUAUAAUCAUGCGAUACAUGUGGAUCAGAGUUGUUAGACAUAGGAGAUUUUGGUGUCCCUCCCCAAGAAUGUUACGAGUACAAGAUCAUCAUGGGUGGAUGGUUUGGAUUAAUUCGAAGAGAUGGCAAUUUUGAUGGUAUAUGAUAACCUGUUGGGAGUUGGUCCGUGUGAGCCUCAUAACCGUUGGUAUUAGAGAAAUGGUGUUCAAGUGUUUCAUGGCAACCUUUAGUCUCACCAAGCCAUGACUUUGUCGAGCCGUGACAUCAGAGCUGGAUAUGAAGUAAGGAUAUGGCCCUUGGACUAACCCUUAUACUCCACCUAUUUGACGAACAUCAUGACCAUGUUUAUGAGUUCUUGGACAAGUUUGUGGUUAUCAUCAUUGAUGACCUCUUGGUCUAUUCUCUCUCUGAGGAAGAUCAUAAGCAACUCCUGAGAAUGAUUUUGGAUAACUUCAAGAAACCCAGUUAUAUGCCAAGUUCAAGAAGUAUGAAAUUUGGCUAAAAGAAGUAGGGUUUCGAGGACAUGUUUUCUCCAUCGAAGGUUUGUCAAUAGAGCCAUCAAGGAUUAGAAUCCGUAACCAACUGGAAGGCCAAACAAAUGUGAAGUCAGAAGUUCCAUCGGACUCAAGAGUUAUUAUCGCAAAUUUGUGAAGACUUUCAAGCAUCACCGAUGACUUAACUCUUGAACAAAGAUAAGAAGUUUGAAUGAAGGCCCAAGUGUGAAGUGAGCUUUUGAAAGUUUAAGAAGAGGUUAACCACUUAUCCGUCCAUAGCCACCCUAGAUAUUUAUACGAGUUUUGAAGUUAUUGUGAUGCAUCUAAUCAUGGACUUCGUUCCGUCUUGAUGCAAGAAGGAAUCUUCGUAGCCUUCAAGGCAACUACGUCCUCAUGAAUAGAACUGCCCUACCCAUGAUUUGGAAAUAGCGGUAGUAGUGCAUGCUUUAAGUAUGUCUUCUUCUAGAUGGGAAGAUUUGAUCAACCACUAUGACGUUGAUAUCCAUUACCAUCCUGAUAAGGCCAAUGUCGCAGUGGAUACCCUCCGCAGGAAGCCGUGUCCCUGUUCUGCCUUGACCAUGCAGAGCAACUAGUGCUACAUGAAGGCUUCGAGAAGUUUGGUGUAGACUUGAUCAACCACUAUGACGUUGAUAUCCACCCUGAUAAGGCCAAUGUCACAGUGGAUACUCUUAGCAGGAAGUCGUGUCCCUGUUCUGCCUUGACCAAGCGAAGCAAUUAGUGCUACAUGGGCUUCGAGAAGUUUGGUGUAGAGCUAGUCAAUAGUGUCUAUCUCGCUAACUUCGAGAUUAGACCCACUCUUAGGAUGAAUCAAGAAGUAUAUAAGAAAUCAAUUAAAUGAUCAAGCAUGGGAAAGCCUUGCAUUCUCAGAAGACAAGCAAUGUGUUCUUCAGUUUGGAGGUCGCAUCUGCAUACCUAAGCAAGAAGUGGAAUCUACAAGCAGCUCGGGACACCCCUUUAUGCCAUCCACCUAGGGAGUACGAAGUUAUACCAGGACCUCAAGAAGUUGAUGAUGGAAUGGAAUGGAAUGGAAUUAGAUAUAGCCGCCCUUUUGUUACCAACGUCUCAGGAUGCAAGCGCGGCGGGUUGCAGCUAGCCCGCACUUGCUUAAGUGGGCUCUUCUGGUUUAUGCGGGUUGCAGCUAGCCCGCACUUGCACCCUUACCAAUGUCAAAUUAAGGCCAUAACUCUAUCAGGGUCAUAAUUGACCAUUACCUAAGCUUGCCAUCCUCAACCCAUUACUUAACACCAAAAACAUUUGCAAGCCAACUAGCAGAUAAGACCUCUUCCAGAUUUUAAGUCUCCACAAAGUUCCCAAGAAGGUUGUUGCAGAUAAAGGUACAAUGUUGACCUCCAAACCUGUAAGAGAUUCCAAGAAGCUUUUAAAAUAAAGUCAUCCAUCAAACGGGGCCUCUGCAAAGAAAACCACACAUCGACCCCCACCCCUAACCAACUUACUGUGAGAUCUCAAUUCUUGUCCUUGCUAAAGCUAUAUGUCAGAACUUAUGCCAUCGAGUGCCUCGAUUCAGUGAAGCAAUCUCAUCGAAGAGCAAGCAACUUGAAGUGAAGACUGUCGCUAAGCGAUCUUUCUAAGCAACCUCACCCAGUGUUUUGUAUCACAUCACUUAAGAUAAUAUAGAUCAAAAUUUUGGACCCAACUUUUAAAAUAUCGAUCACGGGGGAGCAUAUACCUCAAGUGGACACUAUACUAGCAUCGUUCUUAAGGAAAGUUUUGUCCGAUUGUUCAAACUGUAUACGCCUAACACCAAAAUGCAUUCAAGAUGCAAAGGCCGACAACUUUAACUCUACCAAGUGCAACUUAGUCAAAGUUUCUCCUCACUCAAGCUUAAGCCUUUCUCUAAACCAAACCUAGCCCAAGAAAACUCAGCCUAGCUAUCAAGGUUGUGAUAGGAUAGACUUAUAUCAAUGUGCUUAACUUGCGGAAUUGCAAGAGCACCGCUUAAGCACCAACAACUAUUGCCUGAAAUAAAGCCCAACAUGAGAUAGUGAUUGUAUGAGUCAAUCAUGUUACAUCCUUAAGCCCGCAACACACACCUAGUUGGGUGGUGUCAUACUUAAGUUGUUUUGAGGAGUUAUGAUUGGAAAAUAAGAUAGUUUGUUGGUAAUGUAGAUGUGAUCUUGAGAAGAUAGUCAAAGAUGUUCGGUGGAUUUUGAGAUUUUAGGUAUAGUAGGUGAGCAUGGUGAUUAUUAUAUUUGUGAAUAACAAUAUAAUUAAUUAAUCUUGAAACAAUUUGGAUUUAGUUAGGCGAUUGUGAAUUUGUGAUUUUGAACCAAAUUUCAUGGUGGAUUACGAGAUUUUAGCUGGAUUUAGUUAGGUGAUUGGGAUCUCGAGAAGAUAGUCAAACUUGUUCUGUGGAUUAUGAGAUAUUUGGUCUAAUAGGUGAUCAUGAUGAGUAUUAUAUCGGUGGAUAAAAAGAUCUUGAAUUAAUCUUUGAACAAUUUGGAUUUAGUUUGUGAGAUUGUGAUCUUGGACCAAAUUUCAUGGAGAAUUAUGAGAUUUUAGGUGGAUUUUAUUUGGUGAUUGUGAUCUUCAGAAGAUAGUCAAAGAUGUUUAGUGGAUAAUAAAAUUUUAGGUCUAGUAGGCAAGGAUGAUGAUUAUUAUAUUAGUGGAUAAAUAGAUCUUCAAUUAGUCUUGGACAAUUUGGAUUUAGUUAGGUGAUUAUGAUUUUGACCCAAAUUUCACGUUAGAUUACGAGAUUUCAGGUGAAUUUUAGUUGAUAUGAAUUUUGAGGAGGCAGUCAAAGAUGUUUGGUGGAUUAUGAGAUUUUAGGUUUAGUAGGUGAGCAUGAUGAUUAUUGCAUUGGUGCAUAAAUAGAUCUUUAAUUAAUCUUGGAACAAUUUGGGCUGAGUAUGCAUGCUUUGAAGAUUCAUGGGAUAGAGACAUACCCCGUAUCAACACUAUUCCAGAAAGACCGCCACACUUUGGCCCAUGACUUUAAGCAGUAUGAAGUGCUGAAACAGAACCCAUUCUGGUGUGACAUGAUGGAAAGCUAUGGAGUCUGAACAACUACAGAACUGACGUCAUCCAAGCACUGGGUGGUGUGGAAGGUAUCCUGGAACAUACCUUAUUUAAGGGAACAUACUACUGUAUUUCCCUACUUGGGAGGGUUUGUUUUGGGAGAAGGCUUCAGGUUUUGAGGAAUCAAUCAAGUACAAAAAGCUGACAAAUGCACAGAGUUCUGGGCUUAAUCAAAUCCCCAGCAGAAGAUUUACCCUCUGGUGGUCGCCAACCAUGCAUUAAUCGUGCACACGUAUAUGUUGGUUUCCACUUUCCAGGUUAAGCUAGAAUAUUAACUGGUUCCUUGGCCCGGGUCAAAGCCCCUCCUCCAGCAAGCAAUGAACAAGAUCAUGAAGUCAAAUCCUGCUCUGUAUGUGCUGAGGGAGAGAAUAAGAAAGGGUCUUCAGUUGUAUUCAUCUGAAUCCACCGAGCCAUAUGUGUCUUCACAGAACUACGGAGAGAUAUUCAGCAAUCAAAUCAUACGGCUUGUGGAUGACAUAAAUGUCUAUCGAGAUACCAUUCACAAAACCUUCGAGGGUAACCUGAUGACCAAACCAAUCAAUGGUGCCAUCUUUAUUUUCAAUCCAAGAACUGGUCAACCAACUAUUUCUGAGGGUCAUCCACACAAGUGUAUGGGCAGGACAAAAGCGUCUAGUUUCUGAGCAUAGUAAUCGCUCCAGUUUUCCUCGUUCUUAGAUUUAACUGAAUUUGCAUAUCCAUUCCGCCACAGCAUGGAACUCACCGGCCAGAUGGUGACUUUGCCAGCGAAGAAUCUCCCAGAGCAUGAGUUCCUUGCUGACAUGAAGCCAUGGGGACCCAGUUGAAUGAAGCUCCUCAGCUAUCACCUCAGGAUUUGACAUGACAUGCUAAUAUUUUGGAGAAAAACAAGCAGUGGGAUGGUAAGAAGUGCAUCAUUUUGACCUGUCGGCGAACAUCUUGGGUCAGUGGUUAUGUUUGGGAGAAGAAGAAAACCUAUCGUGAUUUCUUUUUAGCUGGAUUAAGUUUACUAUGUCAGUGUUUGGUUACAUAUUUCUGUCAGUCAGUUCUGUGCCUGAGACCAAAUCAGUUGUUCUGGGACUGGUCAAAUCGCUAUUGCUUGAGCCAGUUCUGGGAUGGUGACGCCUUGAAGAGUGUGGUCAAAGCAAGCCAGUACAUCACCCUCACGCCCACCCCCACGCCCAUCAUUUGAUCAUCACUGAAACACUGCAGCAUCAGCAUUAAUUUUAACCAUCUUGGCACUGACGAUGAUGCCUCACACCUAGAGAAACCGGGAAAUAAGAAUUAUAUCAGUAAGUGUAACUGUCCCUUGAGAACUUGGAAUAAGUGAUCAUACUAAGAAUUAUACCAGUAAGUGUAACUGUCCUGAAGAUGAUAAGCGUUGCAGUGCCCCUUAGCUAUUGUUUCUGUUUCCGUGGAGCAUCGGUCAUAUAAUAUUUGGAGACCUGACGUCAUCGGCACGUCUCAUAUGAUUGGAUAUUCUCAUGGCCGUGCACCAAGCCUGUGUGUGAACAGAACAUCUGUCUGACCAUCUCGCUUCGCGUGCUCAGAGACACGGAUAUUCUCAUGGUCAUGCAGUCAGGCCACCAACGGCAGCGAGUAUGAACAUUUGUCUUUAGACCAGUAUGAACUACUCGGAUAGAUGGCUGCAUGGUAGCGCUGGAUACUCUGGAAAAAGGAGGCACCUGCUUGGCGAGAAGCUAGCGCCUAUGGCGAAAGUCUACAUGCAGAAUAUAUAUGACUGGACUACUUGAGGCUUUUGCAUAGUUUUUACUGGCAGUAGUUCAACAAUUUACAGCUAGCAUUUUAAGAAAGAGUAUUUGUAUGUCUGCAUCUUCAGCCCUGUUUCUUCUGUUUUAUGUCAAUGCAAGAUCUUACAAUUUAAAAUGAGGUAAUUGACACAUACUUUCAAUUUCCUUAAGGAGGUUGAGGUAUGUAAUAUUUGUAUCAUUAUGCCUUUCACUUAGCUGUAUUUGUGUCAUUAUGCUACGUGCUCAUUCAGAUUC